CCUACGGGAGGCAGCAGUGGGGAAUAUUGCACAAUGGGCGAAAGCCUGAUGCAGCAACGCCGCGUGAAGGAAGAAGGCCUUCGGGUCGUAAACUUCUGUCCUUGGGGAAGAAGAACUGACGGUACCCAAGGAGGCAGCCCCGGCUAACUACGUGCCAGCAGCCGCGGUCAUAGGUAGGGGGCAAGCGUUAGCCGGAAUUAUUGGGCGUAAGGGGUACGUAGGUGGCAAUCUAAGCGAGGGGUUUAAAGCAGUGGCUCAAACAUUGUUCGCCCGGGAAACUGGGGUCCUGGAGUGGGGGAGGGAAAGGGGGAAUUCGGGGGGUAGGGGAGAAAUG
rnacentral:rRNA from 1 species